rnacentral:hammerhead_ribozyme from 1 species
AGUAGCUGACGAGUCCCAAGUAGGACGAAAUGCUCAUCCUGGUU